UAUACCCAGUGGCGGACGGGUGAGUAACGCGUGGGCAACCUGCCCCGUGCCGGGGGAUACCGCCUGGAAACAGGCGCUAAUACCGCAUAAGCGCAUACAGCCGCAUGGGUGUAUGCGGAAAGCUCCGGCGGCACGGGAUGGGCCCGCGCCCGAUUAGCCAGUUGGCGGGGUAACGGCCCACCAAAGCGACGAUCGGUAGCCGGCCUGAGAGGGCGGACGGCCACAUUGGGACUGAGACACGGCCCAAACUCCUACGGGAGGCAGCAG
rnacentral:rRNA from 1 species